rnacentral:rRNA from 1 species
UCCGUAGGUGGAUUAAUAAGUCAGAGGUGAAAUCCUGCAGCUCAACUGUAGAACUGCCUUUGAUACUGUUAAUCUUGAGUCAUUAUGAAGUGGUUAGAAUGAGUAGUGUAGCGGUGAAAUGCAUAGAUAUUACUCAGAAUACCGAUUGCGAAGGCAGAUCACUAAUAAUGUACUGACACUGAGGGACGAAAGCGUGGGGAGCGAACAGGAUUAGAUACCCUGGUAGUCC